rnacentral:rRNA from 1 species
GAUGAACGCUGGCGGCGUGCCUAAUACAUGCAAGUCGAGCGAACAGACGAGGAGCUUGCUCCUCUGACGUUAGCGGCGGACGGGUGAGUAACACGUGGAUAACCUACCUAUAAGACUGGGAUAACUUCGGGAAACCGGAGCUAAUACCGGAUAAUAUAUUGAACCGCAUGGUUCCAUAGUUAAAUACGGUUUUGCUGUCACUUAUAGAUGGAUCCGCGCCGCAUUAGUUAGUUGGUAGGGUAACGGCUUACCAAGGCGACGAUGCGUAGCCGACCUGAGAGGGUGAACGGCCAGACUGGAACUGAGACACGGUACAGACUCCUACGGGAGGCAGCAGUCGGGAAUCUUGCGCAAUGGGCGAGAGCCUGACGGAGCAACGCCGCGUGAGUGAUGAAGGUCUUCGGAUCGUAAAACUCUGUUAUUAGGGAAGAACAAAUGUGUAAGUAACUAUGCACGUCUUGACGGUACCUAAUCAGAAAGCCACGGCUAACUACGUG